rnacentral:rRNA from 1 species
UAAAACGACGGCCAGUGCGGUAUCCUGACCGUGCUAAGGUAGCAUAAUCCCUUGCCUCUUAAUUGGUGGCUAGUAUGAAUGGAUAGACGAGAAUUAUACUGUCUCUGCAAGUUAUCUAAAAAUUAUCCUUUAAGCGAAGAGACUUAAAUAAUUAUAAAAGACAAGAAGACCCUGUAGAGCCUUAAUUACUUUUAAAUCCAAAAAUAAAACUAAAACAAACCUUUAAUUUAAUUUUAGUUGGGGCGACUAAGGAACAUCCACACCUUCCUUUACCUGAAAGGCACAUUUGCCAUAUUAGUGAUCCAUUUUCAUGAUCAAAAAACCAGGCUACCUCAGGGAUAACAGUCUAAUCUUCCUCAAGAGUUCACAUUGACAGGAAGGA